rfam:halophilic archaeon J07HB67 genomic scaffold scf_7180000098878, whole genome shotgun sequence.
AGUCCCGUAGGGUAGCGGCCAAUCCUGUUGCCUUCUGGGGGCAACGACGAAGGUUCGAAUCCUUCCGGGACUA